CGGGACGGGUGAGUAAUGUCUGGGAAACUGCCCGAUGGAGGGGGAUAACUACUGGAAACGGUAGCUAAUACCGCAUAACGUCGCAAGACCAAAGAGGGGGGACUUCGGGCCUCUUGCCAUCGGAUGUGCCCAGAUGGGAUUAGCUAGUAGGUGGGGUAACGGCUCACCUAGGCGACGAUCCCUAGCUGGUCUGAGAGGAUGACCAGCCACACUGGAACUGAGACAUGGUCCAG
rnacentral:rRNA from 1 species